rnacentral:lncRNA from 1 species
UCUUCCUCCUGUCGGCGGGAGGUGUGGAUCACCUACUGCGUGCGGGGAACAAACGCCGCCCCAGUACCGGUCCCUGCAGCGGAGUAGCCUUCACCUGCAAGGUGAACGCCUGCUCACCACGUAAUCCCCAAACGCAGAUAUCACGUUGUCUCUGCAACUUUCCCUGACAACCACCCAAUGCAAUUAAUUAUCCCACAAUAGUAUCUCCCGCAGGCUCUCUGUAGAACCAUAGAAUUCAUCCAUCAAAAUACAAUCAUUUGUUGAUCCGUCUCUCUCUGCCGCCCCCAAAUGUGAAUUCCUUGAGUCAGAGACUAUUCUACUCAGCAAAACAUUUGUGAGUGGAAUUAAAUUGAAAUAAACCGUUAUAGUCCACUCACAGAUGGAAAACACAUAGUAAAAUCCUAGAAUUCCAUUUCUCCCCUGAAAAUUUCCCAGACAGUCAGAGGGAGUUUCAUUCUUUCCUGUUUACUUUUCUCCCAAAUAGGCCUUCUGAGGCAGCAGAAUAGGGAAGGAAGUCAGAAGACUGACCAGCUCAUACCUAUGGAAUGCCUAUCAUACAUACACUUAAAAUUAUGGCAAGCUCACGCAGGCGCACUAAGAGAGAAAAAACAAGAAAACAGAUAUGACAAUUAUAGGAAAUCCCCUCCCUAGAGUUAAAGAAGUGUAGGAAGUGGGUAUAAAAGAACAAAGGCUAUAUUAAUCCAGGGCUGACACCACUUGAAGAUAAGCCCGUUCCUCUCUCUGGGUCAAGCCUGCAAUACCUAAAGCUCCAGACCUGGAACCCAAAGCUCCCAUCAGUCGCUACCCUGUGAACCUGUGGAGGAUCUGAAGUACCUGUUUAAAAGGCAUCCAAAAGAUAGAAUCUAUCAAGCUACAAAUGGCUAUGUUGCCUGAAGCCCCAGACAUCAUCCUACAAGAAAUAAGUCCAGACUUCUUAAUUUCCCCCUGGAUAGAGCAGGGUAAGAGUUCUGUGGUCCCCUGUUAGGUGGGGCCAGCAGUCCCACUCAGCUGGAAGCAAGUAUAGAAGAAAGAACUUCAACCCUCAGCAACCUAUUAUGAUUUAUGGGGAUCACAUCUCUCAGAGGGAAUUGAGGCAGGAGAAUAGGGAAGGAAGUCAGAAAAUCAACCUGCAGCCUUUUCUCACCAAAACAAGCAUAAGGCACCAUCUGAUAAGGAAGCUGAAGCAAUGAACCAAUGCUUUCUGCAGUAAACAAAUCUGGUAUAACCUUUUAUUAUAAUAAGUUACUUAAAGCCCAUACAUAUGGAAUGCAUAUCAUACAUACACUUAAAAUUAUGGAAUGGCAAGCACAUGCAGGCGCACUGAGAGAGAAAACCAACAAGAAAACUGAUAUGUCAAUUAUAGGCAACCUCCUCCCUAAAAGUUAAGUAAGAGUAGUAAGGUGGUAUAAAAGAACAAAGGCUAUGUUAACCCAGGGCUGAUACCACUCGCGGAUCAGCCCAUUCUUCUCUCUGGAACAUUCUUUGCUUAAUACAUCUUGUGGGGUCAUUA